GACGAACCGUGCGAACGUUGUUCGGAAUCACUGGGCUUAAAGGGCGCGUAGGCGGCUUCGCAAGUCCGGGGUGAAAGCCCCCAGCUCAACUGGGGAAGUGCCUUGGAUACUGCGGGGCUCGAGGGAGGUAGGGGUGCGUGGAACUUCCGGUGGAGCGGUGAAAUGCGUAGAUAUCGGAAGGAACACCAGUGGCGAAAGCGGCUUCCUGGUCCAGCACCGACGUUCAGGCACGAAAGCGUGGGGAGCAAACAGG
rnacentral:rRNA from 1 species